AUACAUGCAAGUCGAGCGGACAGAUGGGAGCUUGCUCCCUGAUGUUAGCGGCGGACGGGUGAGUAACACGUGGGUAACCUGCCUGUAAGACUGGGAUAACUCCGGGAAACCGGGGCUAAUACCGGAUGGUUGUUUGAACCGCAUGGUUCAAACAUAAAAGGUGGCUUCGGCUACCACUUACAGAUGGACCCGCGGCGCAUUAGCUAGUUGGUGAGGUAACGGCUCACCAAGGCGACGAUGCGUAGCCGACCUGAGAGGGUGAUCGGCCACACUGGGACUGAGACACGGCCCAGACUCCUACGGGAGGCAGCAGUAGGGAAUCUUCCGCAAUGGACGAAAGUCUGACGGAGCAACGCCGCGUGAGUGAUGAAGGGUUUCGCAUCGCAAAGCUCUGUUGUUAAGGAAGAACAAGUGCCGUUCGAAUAGGGCGGUACCUUGACGGGACCUAACCAGAAAGCCACGGCUAACUACGUGCCAGCAGCCGCGGUAAUACGUAAGUGGCAAGCGCUGUCCGGAAUUAUUGGGCGCAAAGGGCUCGCAGGCGGUUUCUUAAGACUGAUGUGAAAGCCCCCGGCUCAACCGGGGAGGGUCAUUGGAAACUGGGGAACUUGAG
rnacentral:rRNA from 1 species